CCGCAGUCGGAGUGGCAGCCACAGCCCAGACAGCUACAGCAGCCGCAGUGGGAGCCGCAGCCGAACCCGGAGCCCCUCCAGAACCCCCAGUCCCAGCCCCAGUCCCAGCUACAACAGCCGCAGCAGCUCGGAGAGCGGUGGCUUCUGACCCCCCGAGAGGUCCAUGCUCCCUUUCCCUUGGAUGCCCGCUCCUUCCUGCUCCUACUCGAGAGCCCCCACCCCCACCUACCCCUGGCCCAAGAGACCCAGCUUGGUUGGGUUCAGAGGACCAGGAGGCAGGACAGAGCCAGGGGGGAGGGGCAGGUGGAGCCAUUCUCCUGUGGGGUGUGGGAAACUUUCCCCUGCAUACCCACUCACUCCUACCACCGCCAGCUCUGUUCAUAUUUCUUCACACCCCACAGGGUGGACCCAGGUAUCUGGGCAGCCCAGGCCAAAGGCCCUGCUAGGCCAAAUUCACCCAUUCCAUCUAUCACUGUCAUCCUCCAAACCAGCACCAGGGAGAGCUCCUAUCUCCAGUUUGGGGGCAAAGAAAAGCGCAACCAACAGGUGGAUGGAGACUCUUGCCCCCUGAAUUGGCCCCAGGUCAGGGAGUGUCCAGGGGGGACUCAGCCUGGCUGGGGAAGAUUCUCCCCCCAUCCUCUCACCCCUUUUCCUCUGACCCUGUUGUACAAGGUUGGGUUGGCAACAGGGGAACUCUGUCCUUAUGGGAAUGGGGUUGGUGCACCCCAGAACCCCAGAGACCUCUGCCCAAUUUGGGCACAGGGCCUGAUGACAAAGAUCGGGAUCCUAUUGCUUCCAGAAGGUGCCCUCUCCAUUCCUUGGGGUUGGGCACUGCCCCAGAGCACCAAGAGCCACCGAACACAGGACGUGCUCAAUCCCUGCCCCCAAGUCCUACUCUGCCCUGAGCCACCCACCCCACGGGGAAGGGGACUUCCUGGGGAGCUGGCACAAGGAGAUGAAACCCCUCCCUCCCAGAAUGUAUCCGAAACCCCCUUCCCCUCCCUGUUUGGUUGGCAGAAGACAUGA
rnacentral:lncRNA from 1 species